GAUAUAGCUCAGGAUGAACGCUAGCGACAGGCUUAACACAUGCAAGUCGAGGGGGCAGCACAGGUAGCAAUACCGGGUGGCGACCGGCGCACGGGUGAGUAACGCGUAUGCAACUUACCUAUCAGAGGGGGAUAACCCGGCGAAAGUCGGACUAAUACCGCAUGAAGCAGGGGCCCCGCAUGGGGAUAUUUGCUAAAGAUUCAUCGCUGAUAGAUAGGCAUGCGUUCCAUUAGG
rnacentral:rRNA from 1 species